rnacentral:rRNA from 1 species
UGGGGGAUAUUGCACAAUGGGCGAAAGCCUGAUGCAGCGACGCCGCGUGGGGGAUGAAGGCCUUCGGGUUGUAAACUUCUUUUGCUCUGAACAAGGCAUGCUAAUGGGUGUGUUGAGUGUAGGGGUUGAUUAGCGCCGGCUAACUACGUGCCAGCAGCCGCGGUAAUACGUAGGGCGCGAGCGUUGUCCGGAAUUAUUGGGCGUAAAGGGCUUGUAGGUGGCUGGUUGCGUCUGUCGUGAAAGCUCAUGGCUUAACUGGGGGUUUGCGGUGGGUACGGGCUGGCUUGAGUGCAGUAGGGGAGGCUGGAAUUCCUGGUGUAGCGGUGGAAUGCGCAGAUAUCAGGAGGAAUACCGGUGGCGAAGGCGGGGCUCUGGGCUGUUACUGACACUGAGGAGCGAAAGCAUGGGGAGCGAACAGG